rnacentral:snRNA from 14 species
AUACUUACCUGGCGCGGGGGAUACCGUGAUCAAGAAGGCGGUGCCU